CACAGGAACAACAGCAGCGAAUCCUGUGGUUGAAACCACAGCACUUCCCUCACAGCGGGGCGGCGGGGGCGGGGGAUCAUUGUGGGCUUGGAGCGUUGUUAGGUUUGAGCCUACCCAGAUUAUUUUAUUCAUGAUGAAAUAUAAGGCGGAGAAUCGCUGUGUGAGAGGACAGAAGCUGAUCCGCCCCUGCCCCUCCCUGCCAGCCUGUGCUACCCGCUUUGGCUGGAAGAGAUUGGGUCCCUCAAGAUUUUUCACUUCUCAGAAGAAGGGAAGAUUAUUCUUUAUUUUUGUGUCCUAGGCAAACAAAGGAUCAAAAGGAGGUUAUACCAAAGUGGUUCUGAGCCAGUGAAAAACAAAUUCAAGCUGCUAACAACAUAAUGAAGAUGAUGGGCUUCGUUGGGAAGAAAAUCAUGUUUGAUUUACUGCCGGAGCUGUCGUGACUACCAUUUCUGAGCACCUGCUGUCACCAAGGAUAGCACUAGAGUAUCUUCUUUUUACCAUUGUCAAAGAACUUGCUACACUUUCCAUACACCUGGCAUCGCUGCAUGAGGCCAUCCUUGACCAGUAUGUGGAGCUGACAAGUUCCAGACUUUUUCCUGCUGAAGAAGAGGCUGAGCAUGAGCAGAGACCAAAAAAACGGUGGCCAACAGUGACAGCACAGAAAAGGCCAGCGCUGCUCAACCCCGGGCUCCCCCUUCUGUUUCUUCUCCUGUCAACUUGGAAGACCCACCCCACCCACUCCUCAUAUAAUUGAUAGGGCACUGUCAGGCAGGUGGUGUAAGUGGUUUAUUUUAGAGAAGGUUAUUACUGGCCACAAAACUUCAAGUCAGCUAUUUUCAAGGACCCUUAGGAAGGAAGUGCCUGUUUAGGGUGUCCACCCUCGAAAGCCCAGGACAGAGGUCUUACUGUACUUCUGCACCCAACCACAUUUAAUCCAUUCAUAAGGCUCCUUUGUGAGAUGCCACAUCAGAGUAAACCAAUGUUGGAUAUUGCAAACAGCUUUGAAGAAUGUCUUUCCCUUAGAACUGCACAGUUCUGAGAGCAGAAUGGUGUCCCCACACAUUGUUAUGACUUGACAUCUCCAGUGUGAAAAGUUUCCAUCAAGCUAUGAUAAGAAAAGGCUGGGCUUUUUACUCUCGUGGAAACCACAGCAGAAGAAAGCCAUUAUGCUACCUCUUCACUUAGCCUCUUCCUGUAAAUACAAGUGCAUUAGAGAGAAACAGGUCCAAGUUUGGGGAAGUGAGUUGGUAACUCUUAAAAAUCAGGCAGUGAAAAACUGAAAGUUCAGUUUUACAAUGAGUGGUAAUGUGGACAACAGAAAGGGAACAUAUGUCUCACAGAGAGGAAGAUACUCUGUGACCCAGUGGUGAAUUUUAGAUUUUGAAUUUUUGGGAAUGAAAACAAAGAUUUAACUUUAAGAACUGACAUGCCAACUGUUUUGCUUUUUGUUUUGUAAUUAGGACACUGAGGAAAAAAAGACUAUCAUUUUAAACUUCAUCAUCAUCUUAUAACACAAAGGACAGUAUGACAUUAAAAAAUAAGGCAUAAUCUCACAAAGAACAUUUUUUUGGUAGUGGUGUUGGAGAUCAAACUUAGGGCUUCAUACAUGAUAGACAUAUGCUCUAAAACCAGGCUACAUCUCUUCAUAAGAAUCUUUUUUUUUCUUUUGUACUAGGGAUUGAAUCCAGGGCCUUCACACUUAGCUAUAUCCCCAACCCCUCUUUGUUUUGGUACCUGGAAUCGAACUCGGGACCUUGCGCUUUUAAGGUAGGCGCCGGAACCACUGAGCUAAAUCCCCACCCUUCUCUAACCCUUUUAAUUUUGAAAUAGAGCCUUGCUAAGUUGUCCAGUCUGGGCUUGAACUUGGCAGUCCUUCUGCCUCAGCCUCCUGGAGUGCUGGGAUUACAGGUGUGGGCUCCCAAGGCCUGCCCAAGUAUCAUUUGCUAUAUGUGGGAAAAUUCUCUUGAUGUAAAAGGUCGGUAUUUCUGAUUUUUUUUUUCUAUUGCACAACAGAUCUGCAAGCAUGUCUUUCCUAGUGCCAGUACACCUGGUGUUAGCACGUGGAGGAUGAAGUCAGAUGAGCUGGGUGACGUCCAUGCCUUGUCGGUGGCUGGCUGUGUGGCGUUGGGUCAGUCAUUUGCCCAAGUUUGUGCAUGUAUGCAAUGUGGAUGGGAGUGACACCUACCCACUAUAAGGCUGGCAGGUUGGUGGCUUACUAUGACAGGAGCGUGCAGCACUUGGCAGCUUUUGUCAUCAGACCUCUGACACAGCCAUCUUAGCCACCAAGAAGAUAGAAGACAGAGUUAAAGCAGAAGUGUUCACCUGGCUGACUUAAGAGGAACACAGUUGUGUUAGUUACUUUUCUCUUGUACCUGAGACAAAAUACCCAACACCCAAAGUUAAAGGGGGAAAGGUUUAUUUGGCUUACAGUUCGUAAAGGUUUCAGUCCAUAAUCAGCUGGCUCCAAGCCAGGGUGGCAGAGGAGAAACAGUUCAUAGCAGCAUAAGACAGCUAAAGCAACAAGAGACCCUAACAGCAUCUUUCUGCCCCUUUUAUCCCAUCCAGACUACCGGGAUUAGGGCGGUGCCAAACCAGUCUCUCACUUACAGUGGUUUAGUAAUCACAUGCCCUUAAUCCCAGCAUCACACAUUCCAGAUUCAGCCACUUCUGAAAAAGAAAGUCCCCCCUCAUCUGCAUGAGGCUUUGGGGGGACUUCUAAACACAAGCCACAACAACAGUUUUUUAUCAUUUACAUUUAUAAGCAAAUCAUUUGGGAAUAAAGAAUGUAAAUUUAGAAGAAGAGAAAGAAUGUCUCAUGAAAGUAUAGGUGGCUGCAUGGAAGAUGAGUUCUGAGACUUGCAUUGUCACCUGCAAGCAGAGGGACAGAGGGGGAAGGGACACAAUCUGGACUCCAAGAGCUGCUUUGUAGUUAGCUGGGGACAGGAUGGAGCUCCCUGGAUCCUUAGGUGCAGUAAUGGUUUUCCUACCAUGCAUCAUCUUUCCCUUAUGGUCAUUUAUUAAAUUCUGGUUAAUGACUCCUCUUUCCCACUACUUCUAUCUAGAAACUCAUGUUCCC
ensembl:lncRNA